AGCACUGGCAGCUGUCCUUCAUGACAAUACAAGCCACAUACGGCCUCCUCAUCACCAACAUGACUUUGGUGUGCGUCCUCAUGUGGACUGUCCUCUGCUGCUGCUUCACAGAGUCCAGAGGACAGGUGACAGUGAGUCAGGCUGGAGCAGUGAGGGCCGCCCUGGGAGACACCGUCAACAUACGCUGUACUGUCAGUCCAGCUGUGUCUUCUACAAGCUACUUAGCCUGGUACCAACAGAGAGAUGGAGACAAACCUGUCCUUCUUAUAUAUCAUACAUCUACUCGAGCGUCAGGUGUCCCCAGUCGGUUUUCAGGCGGUGGAUCUGGGUCUGGCUUCACUCUGACCAUCAGUGGAGUUCAUCCUGAAGACUCUGCUGUGUAUUACUGUAAGAGUUAUCACUACAUCAACAGACAGAAUGUGUUCACACAGUGAAAAAGGCUCGUACAAAAACCUCCUCAGACUGAACUGAAACUGACUCACUUCAGUAAACUCAUGCUGCACAGUGUAAUGAAAAGAAAGACUCAGGUAAUUUUUAACAUAAAUUUAGGUACUUUUGUUUCAUUUUUUUUUUUUUGUACAUUUUUAUCAGAAAACAAUAAAUGUUGAACUAAUGAAGGGAUAAAGUCAUGUAACAAGCAUAAAACAAACAGUAAGAAACAAAAAUAAAUCAUGGGUUCAUUGUCUCAUAAAAGUCCAGAUCAUAAACUAUUAGGGAGAAAAAAAAAACAACAACAAAAAAACACACCAUUAAACAAUAUUUUCAAAACA